GCCCCCGACGCUUCAGCGGAAUGCGCCGCUCCGGGAUUGGGCGAGCGGGCUUGUCCAUCCAGCGCGGCGCUGAGUGUUCUGUGAGCUGAGACUGCGCGGCCUUCGACAGUAGCGGUUCCCGAGUUCAACCCAACCUACAAUGGUUCCUGCAUCUGAAAGGGCCGACCAGCUACAGAUCUUAGGGACAGGGAGCGACAAAGAAAAUCAAGCCUCGGAGAAAAAUGUAAGAUGCUUGCUCAUGAAAGCCACAACCAAAAUAAGCUUUGUGAGCAACUUCCGAGGGCCCCGGCGCGUGGGUAGCCUUCAACUCUCGGCUCCCAGUCCUGUGGAAAGGACAGUUACCUUUGCCCUUGGGCUAAGCACCGCCGUGGUACAGUCCCAGCCACCUGCCAAGGCAUCAGUAAAUCGGUUCUCCUUCCUGACUAGCCCUACAGCCACCCAUAACCUGCCUCACUAUUUCCCAACCACCUUUGUUGCUUAGUGUAGGUGUGGCACCUACAAGGAACACUCUAGGUUAGGUAAUUUUAUUGAAACAUGAGUUUUUUGCCUCCAGCGUAGCUGCACCCAUAUACCUAGAUUGCAAAGUCUAUUAAAUGAGGAACUGUUUCAGUGUUCACCCACGCCUACUCCGUGCCUAGCAGAUCAUCGUCAAUAAUCGAGGAAUUAAUGCAUCUUCCUUCCACCUUUUAAAAAGUCAUUUUUAUUUUUUGUGUGUUCGAGUGUUUGGUGUACAUGUAUACUUAUGCAUCGUGGACCUGCUGCCCCUAGAGGCCAAAAAAGGGUAUAGGAUCCUCUGGAACUGGAGUUACAGAUGGUUUUGAACCACCCCGUGGGUGCUGGGAAUCAAACUCAGGUCCCUUGGAAGAGCAGCGCUCUUAAUCACUGAACCUCCAGCCCCUUCCUUUCACUAUAAUACAGGCUCUACCUGUAAAUCCUAAAAAAUUAUUUUCUGCUUUCAACUUAAUUGCAUGUUAAUAAAUAUAUGGGUGACCUGCCCUAGGUAAAAUGCAAA